AUUCAGCUAACGAGUCCCAAAUGGGAUGAAACGCGUGUUCUGUAU
rnacentral:hammerhead_ribozyme from 1 species